AUUGAACGCUGGCGGCAGGCUUAACACAUGCAAGUCGAGCGGGGUGAUGAUGCUUGCACUAUCACUUAGCGGCGGACGGGUGAGUAAUGCUUAGGAAUCUGCCUAUUAGUGGGGGACAGCAUCUCGAAAGGGAUGCUAAUACCGCAUACGUCCUACGGGAGAAAGCAGGGGAUCACCUGUGACCUUGCGCUAAUAGAUGAGCCUAAGUCGGAUUAGCUAGUUGGUGGGGUAAAGGCCUACCAAGGCGACGAUCUGUAGCGGGUCUGAGAGGAUGAUCCGCCACACUGGACUGAGACCCGGCCCAGACUCCUACGGGAGGCAGCAGUGGGGAAUAUUGGACAAUGGGGGGAACCCUGAUCCAGCCAUGCCGCGUGUGUGAAGAAGGCCUUAUGGUUGUAAAGCACUUUAAGCGAGGAGGAGGCUCUUUUGGUUAAUACCCAAGAUGAGUGGACGUUACUCGCAGAAUAAGCACCGGCUAACUCUGUGCCAGCAGCCGCGGUAA
rnacentral:rRNA from 1 species